UACAGAGACUGCGAGCGUUAUUCGGAUUCACUGGGCGUAAAGGGUGCGCAGGCGGCCGUGUGUGUGAGGCGUGAAAGCUCGGGGCUUAACCCCGGAAUUGCACCUCAAACUACACGGCUAGAGCAUUGGAGAGGGUAGCGGAAUUCACGGUGUAGCAGUGAAAUGCGUAGAUAUCGUGAGGAACACCAGAGGCGAAGGCGGCUACCUGGACAAUUGCUGACGCUCAGGCACGAAAGCGUGGGGAGCGAACAGG
rnacentral:rRNA from 1 species